rnacentral:misc_RNA from 1 species
UGGUUCUGGCAUCGAUGAAGAACGCAGCGAAAUGCGAUAAGUAAUGUGAAUUGCAGAAUUCAGUGAAUCAUCGAAUCUUUGAACGCACAUUGCGCCCUUUGGCAUUCCGAAGGGCAUGCCCGUUCGAGCGUCAUUAAGACCAAUCAAGCCUGGCUUGGUAUUGGGCGUCGGGUUUCACCGACCCGCGCCUCCAUUCUGUCGGCUGGACGGUUAGAAUCUCAGCGUUGUGCAAUCAAUUCGCUCGAGAGGACGAUCGGCCGCGCCGUUAAACCCCCAUCACAGGUUGACCUCGGAUCGGGUAGGGAUACCCGCUGA